rnacentral:rRNA from 1 species
CAGUCGCCGCGGUAAAACGUAGGGUGCAAGCGUUAAUCGGAAUUACUGGGCGUAAAGCGUGCGCAGGCGGUUUGUUAAGACAGAUGUGAAAUCCCCGGGCUCAACCUGGGAACUGCAUUUGUGACUGGCGAGCUAGAGUCUGGCAGAGGGGGGUGGAAUUCCGCGUGUAGCAGUGAAAUGCGUAGAUAUGCGGAGGAACACCGAUGGCGAAGGCAGCCCCCUGGGCCAACACUGACGCUCAUGCACGAAAGCGUGGGGAGCAAACAGGAUUAGAUACCCAUGUAGUCCCUGUCUCUUAUAU